rnacentral:rRNA from 1 species
UACAUGGGGUGCAAACGUUGCUCGGAAUUAUUGGGCGUAAAGAGCUCGUAGGCGGUUUGUCGCGUCGGCCGUGAAAUCUCCACGCUUAACGUGGAGCGUGCGGUCGAUACGGGCAGACUUGAGUUCGGUAGGGGAGACUGGAAUUCCUGGUGUAGCGGUGAAAUGCGCAGAUAUCAGGAGGAACACCGGUGGCGAAGGCGGGUCUCUGGGCCGAUACUGACGCUGAGGAGCGAAAGCGUGGGGAGCGAACAGG